GUGGGGAAUAUUGGACAAUGGGCGAAAGCCUGAUCCAGCCAUGCCGCGUGUGUGAAGAAGGUCUUCGGAUUGUAAAGCACUUUAAGUUGGGAGGAAGGGCAGUAAGUUAAUACCUUGCUGUUUUGACGUUACCGACAGAAUAAGCACCGGCUAACUUCGUGCCAGCAGCCGCGGUAAUACGAAGGGUGCAAGCGUUAAUCGGAAUUACUGGGCGUAAAGCGCGCGUAGGUGGUUUUGUAAGUUGGAGGUGAAAUCCCCGGGCUCAACCUGGGAACUGCAUCCAAAACUGCAUGACUGGAGUACGGUAGAGGGUAGUGGAAUUUCCUGGGUAGCGGUGAAAUGCGUAGAUAUAGGAAGGAACACCAGUGGCGAAGGCGACUACCUGGACUGAUACUGACACUGAGGUGCGAAAGCUUGGGGAGCAAACAGGAUUAGAAACCCCGGUAGUCC
rnacentral:rRNA from 1 species